rnacentral:rRNA from 1 species
GAGUUUGAUUCUUGCUCAGGAUGAACGCUGUUUGUACACUUAACACAUGCAAGUUUAACGGUAUUUACCGUGGCGUACGGGUGAGUAACACGUGAGUUAUCUACAUUUAGGAAGGGAAUAAGAAAUAGAGAUGUUUUGUUUAAUACCCUAUAGGCUUCACACUUAUUUUAUAAUUUUGGAAGUUAAAGGAAUUUUCGCCUAGAUAUGAGCUUGCGUCUGAUUAGCUUGUUGGUAAGGUAAAAGCUUACCAAGGCGACGAUCAGUAGCUGUUCUGAGAAGAAGAUCAGCCACACUGGGACUGAGAUACGGAACAGACUCUUUAGAGAGGCAGCAGUGGGGAAUUUUUGGCAAUAAGCGGAAGCUUGACCAAGUGAUACAAAGUGAGUGAUGAAGGCCUUUGGGUUGUAAAACUCUUUUUUCGUUUAGGAAGAUAUGACAUUAUACGAAGAAUAAGCACCGGCUAAUUUCGUGCCAGCAGCCGCGGUAAUACGAGAGGUGCAAGCGUUAUCCGGAUUUAUUGGGCGUAAAGCGUUUGUAGAUUGUUUAGAAAGUUCAACGUUAAAAUUUGGAGCUUAACUUUGAAAAGGCAUUGAAAACUUUUAAGACUAGAGUACUAUGGAGGUAAAGGGAAUUGAUGGUGUAGAGGUGAAAUUCGUAAAUAUUAUCAAGAACGCCGAUGGUGAAAGCACUUUACUAUAUUAAUACUGACAUUGAGGGACGAGAGCUAGGGGAGCAAAGCAGAUUAGAUACCUGCGUAGUCCUAGCUGUAAACGAUGGACACUAAGUUAUGAAUAGUUUUAUUUCUGUAGCUAACGCAAUAAGUGUCCCGCCUGGGGAGUAUGCUUGCAAAAGUGAAACUCAAAGGAAUUGACGGGUACCUACACAAGCGGUGGAGCAUGAGCAAGAAACGAUGAUACACGAUGAACCUUACCAGGAUUUGACAUUUUGAGAUUUCUUUCUAAAGAGAGAUUUUCCGAAAAAAAGGAACUUAAAACAGGUGGUGCAUGGCUGUCGUCAGCUCGUGUCGUGAGACGUUAGGUUAAUUCCAUUAACGAGCGCAACCCUCGUCUCUAGUUAAAUUUCUAUAGAUACUGCCAGUGAUAAAUUGGAGGAAGGAGAGGAUGACGUCAAGUCAGCAUGCCCCUUAUAUUCUGGGCUAGACUCGUGCUACAAUGGUCAAUACAAUGAGAAGCAAAUUUGUGAAAAUGAGCAAAUCUUAAAAGUUGGCCUUAGUUCAGAUCGCUAUCUGCAACUCGAUAGCGUUAAGCCGGAAUCGCUAGUAAUCGCCGGUCAGCUAUACGGUGGUGAAUAAGUUCUUAGGUAUUGUACAGACCGCCCGUCACGCCAUGAAAAUUGACUAGACUCGAAAUAAUUUGUAUUUUAUAAAAAGAUUAUUAAGGUUGGGUUAGUAAUUAGGGCGAAGUCGUAACAAGGUAGCCGACUGGGGAAAAGGGG